rnacentral:rRNA from 1 species
CAUGCAAGUCGAACGGAAAGGCCCUUCGGGGUACUCGAGUGGCGAACGGGUGAGUAACACGUGGGCAAUCUGCCCUGCACACCGGGAUAAGCCUGGGAAACUGGGUCUAAUACCGGAUAGGACCACUUGGCGCAUGCCUUGUGGUGGAAAGCUUUUGCGGUGUGGGAUGGGCCCGCGGCCUAUCAGCUUGUUGGUGGGGUGACGGCCUACCAAGGCGACGACGGGUAGCCGGCCUGAGAGGGUGUCCGGCCACACUGGGACUGAGAUACGGCCCAGACUCCUACGGGAGGCAGCAGUGGGGAAUAUUGCACAAUGGGCGCAAGCCUGAUGCAGCGACGCCGCGUGGGGGAUGACGGCCUUCGGGUUGUAAACCUCUUUCACCAUCGACGAAGGUCCGGGUUUUCUCGGAUUGACGGUAGGUGGAGAAGAAGCACCGGCCAAC